rnacentral:rRNA from 1 species
AUUGAACGCUGGCGGCAGGCCUAACACAUGCAAGUCGAGCGGAGCGGCGGACGGGUACGGGAUGCCUAGGAAUCUGCCCGUUCGUGAGGGAUAACGUCCGGGAACGGACGCUUUUGCCACAUGCUAUCACAUUCGCCUCGGUCGGAUUAGCUAGAUGGUGGGGUAAAGGCGUACCUAGGCGACGAUCCAUAACUGGUCUGAGAGGAUGAUCAGUCACACUGGAACUGAGACACGGUCCAGACUCCUACGGGAGGCAGCAGUGGGGAAUAUUGGACAAUGGGCGAAAGCCUGAUCCAGCCAUGCCGCGUGUGUGAAGAAGGUCUUCGGAUUGUAAAGCACUUUAAGUUGGGAGGCGUUACCAACAGAAGAAGCACCGGCUAACUUCGUGCCAGCAGCCGCGGUAAUAC